rnacentral:sRNA from 1 species
UUUUAGCCCCGAUAGCAGCGAUAUCCUUUCCUUUUUUUCUUUAAAAAAGGAAAGAUAUAGCGAAUAGCGGGAAAUAGC